GAUGAACGCUGGCGGCGUGCCUAAUACAUGCAAGUCGAGCGAAUGGAUUAAGAGCUUGCUCUUAUGAAGUUAGCGGCGGACGGGUGAGUAACACGUGGGUAACCUGCCCAUAAGACUGGGAUAACUCCGGGAAACCGGGGCUAAUACCGGAUAACAUUUUGAACCGCAUGGUUCGAAAUUGAAAGGCGGCUUCGGCUGUCACUUAUGGAUGGACCCGCGUCGCAUUAGCUAGUUGGUGCGGUAACGGCUCACCAAGGCAACGAUGCGUAGCCGACCUGAGAGGGUGAUCGGCCACACUGGGACUGGAACACGGCCCAGACUCCUACGGGAGGCAGCAGUAGGGAAUCUUCCGCAAUGGACGAAAGUCUGACGGAGCAACGCCGCGUGAGUGAUGCAGGCUUUCGGGUCGUAAAACUCUGUUGUUAGGGAAGAACAAGUGCUAGUUGAAUAAGCUGGCACCUUGACGGUACCUAACCAGAAAGCCACGGCUAACUACGUGCCAGCCGCCGCUGUAA
rnacentral:rRNA from 1 species